CACGGGCAGGUAGUGCGGUGCGGCAGUUUGGACGGCAUCUCAGGCAGCCCCCUUCCCGACCUGUCUCGGUUCUCCACGUGCCCCCGCAUAACGGGUUUGAGGCUGUGGAGCCUGAUGGAGAGAUUACAGCAGAGCCAUUAAGUAAAAUUUGCGUGCAUAGUUCUGUGUUGGCCCUCAAGAAUGCUGAGCUUCAUGCUGGUUCAUCAUGUGUGACCAGGACACUAUUGCUCAAAAAGUUCCAGCAGAGAUAGAUUAAAAAAUAUUUUUCAAAAAUUACCCACCUUUUACCACUGAUAACUGGAUAAUGGUUUGAUGGCUGUGAAGAAGGGUUUUCUAAACAAACGAGCUGGAACAACUUUCUUUCAGUAUCAUCAAGAAAUUCCUGCAAGAUGCUCCUGAUGUUAUUUAGACCAAAUCUUUCCAUGUGACUACAAAACAGAAUAAAUAAGCUCUUAUGAAUUCAAGUUGAACUAAUGACAGCCUGUAUAUCCCAGAGCGUGAUAAAUUAUAGUUUGCUGCUGGCAGCAGGAACUGUUCAAACACAUAUUUCUGCAUUAUGACAAUUUCUUAAGGCUUCUAUAGAAUUCAUGUUUAAUAGGAAACUGCCUAGAGGGAAGAUUAUUAGGAAACUUAGAAAAAGAUUUUCAUUUUAUGAUUUCAGCAAUGUCUGUAAUUAACAACACAGCCUAUCAUUUACUAAGUGGUUAGUUGCACAUAUGAGACCUUUAUCUUGUACAGUAAUUACGGUAUAUAGAAACAAUAUACUUAUUCGGGGUGACUGAAUGUAAGUGGGUGGUUAAAUGUCAUUAAAGCUGUUAUGGAAUAUAUUUAUUUAUGAAUAAAUAUUUUCAGUUUUGCUUUGAGAAAAAAUUUCUGUAUGACCUUUAGAAGGGGAUGCCAAAUUAGAAAUUUCUGCAUAACAGCAAUAUUAGUUUAAAGCAUGCCUUGCCAAGCACAUAAGAAACCCAGCUGAUAAGGAGAUUUUAAACUUGACCAUGGACAAACUCUAUGCUUAUUAUCACUGCUUUCCACAUUUCAUCUCUUUCACAGUCCCUUUGUGUUUGCUGCAUUUUGUUGUUAUCUAGUGCCCUCACAUUUUCUUUUUUAUUUGUUUGAAUUUGAAAGGAUGUUGGAUUUUGUUUACAGUAAUUGCUUAUUUUCUGGAAAGUGCUACGAAUACUGUUCUAAUAUUAAUGUGGAAAAUCCUGGGACUUUGAACACCUAUCAUCUCAAUAUAUUAACCUUGGAUAAACAUCAAGAUUAUCCUUUAGAAUUUGGUAAGAAAGACCUGGAAAUUUAAUGCUGGCUUUAAUUUGCUUGGAAAAUAGACUGAUCAGAAAACUAAGCAAAAAAUGGUCCCUCCAAAAAAGUGGGCAUUUCAUUGCAGCCACUCCUGACCUGAAAACACUGAUGUACUAUUACUCUUUAACUUUGAUUAAAAUUGCCAGUAUGGAUCAGUCAACGCUUUCCUCACUAGUCUUUGCAAACAAAUUGCAAACCUACUGGUACUUAAAAAUUAAAAUAAUUAAUUAAUAAUUGUUAAUUAAUUAAUUAAGAAUAAAUAAUUAAUAGCAGACACCAGUGAUCAGAGAAACUCUCUAAACGAAUAUACUUGCUAUAAUUAUCUUUUACCCAUCUACUGUGUUAUAGAUGGAAUAUCAUCUGGUGUUAUUUUAGUGUAGCUAUUAUCUUUCGUAAUGGUCAAGGUUUUAAAUAGAAGAGCUCUGCUGUGUCAUGGACUGUUUCCAUUCAUGCUUCUCUGGGAUGUCCUCUGUAUGUUCAGUGGGAAGGGGGGAGGCACUAAAAGCUAGUGCUUCCUUUGUCUGUACCAGCUUUACAUCCUAACCAUUUGUCAGCUGAAAGGGCAGACUGACUCUCCACAGGACAUCUGCAGCCAAAGAUAGUCCAGAGAGAGUAAGUACUUUAGUAUUUCACGUUGACUCAGCAGUGGUAAAUGCCCA